rnacentral:rRNA from 1 species
GUGCCAGCCGCCGCGGUAAUACCGGCAGCCCAAGUGAUGGCCGAUCUUAUUGGGCCUAAAGCGUCCGUAGCUGGCUACGCAAGUCCGUCGGGAAAUCCACUCGCCCAACGAGUGGGCGUCCGACGGAAACUGCAUAGCUUGGGACCGGAAGGCUCGAAGGGUACGUGCGGGGUAGGAGUGAAAUCCCAUAAUCCCGCACGGACCACCGAUGGGGAAACCACCUCAGGAGAACGGAUCCGACAGUGAGGGACGAAAGCCAGGGUCUCGAACCGGAUUAGAAACCCUGGUAGUCC